rnacentral:rRNA from 1 species
UACAGGGGGGGCAAGCGUUGUCCGGAAUUACUGGGCGUACAGCGCGCGCAGGCGGUUGAACACGUGCCGUGUGACAGACGUCGGCUUAACCGACGUAGGCCAGGGUACACGGUUCGACUGGAGGCAGAGAGAGGGAUGUGGAAUACCCGGUGGAGCGGUGAAAUGCGUAGAGAUCGGGUGGAACACCAGGGGCGAAGGCGGCAUCCUGGCUCUGUACUGACGCUGAGGCGCGAGAGCGUGGGGAGCGAACAGG